rnacentral:tRNA from 1 species
GCGCCCGUAGCUCAGUCGGAUAGAGCACAGGAUUCCUAAUCCUGGGGUCAGAGGUUCAAAUCCUCUCGGGCGCACCA